rnacentral:rRNA from 1 species
AUUGAACGCUGGCGGCAGGCUUAACACAUGCACGUCGAGCAAGCGGCGGACGGGUGAGUAAUGUCUGGGAAACUGCCUGAUGGAGGGGGAUAACUACUGGAAACGGUAGCUAAUAACGCAUACCAUCAGAUGAGCCAAGAUUGGAUUAGCUAGUAGGUGGGGGAAUGGCGCACCUAUGCGACGAUCCCUAGCUGGUCUGCGCGGAUGACAAUGCACACUGGGACUGAGUCCCGGGCCAGACUCCUACGGGAGGCAGCAGUGGGGAAGAUUGCACAAUGGGCGCAAGCCUGAUGCAGCCAUGCCGCGUGUGUGAAGAAGGCCUUCGGGUUGUAAAGCACUUUCAGCGAGGAGGCGUUACUCGCAGAAGAAGCACCGGCUAACUCCGUGCCAGCAGCCGCGGUAAUAC